ACUACAUCUGAACAGUCUGUACUCUGUGCCAGUGUAGUUAGGGAAGAUAAUAAAAAAGCUGCAGAUUGAUAGGGAUACAUUACUACCUGAAGAAUACAAGGAGAACUUGGAUGUUUAGAGUGAAGGCCUUUCCUUUGGACGUUAGUAGCAGGGGACAUGUACAGUGACAUGACAAAAAAUUAACCAAUCAUGAGAUGGAUUUAGUCAAGACAAAGUGUAAUUUUACUUUCAGGAGUUUUAAAAUCUUACUUUUAGUUAGGUCGAA